UAUUGCGCUAUUGAAACACCGGUUCUCAUACAAUAUUCGAAGUUAAGCAAUAUCGGGCUUGGUCAGUACCUAGUUGGGUCACAGCUUGGGAAUACCAGGU